CCCCUGAAGAUCAGGAUCUUCGUGUGGCAAUGGAUUCGCGGCCGCCUCCCAACUGGUGUGGAGGUCCGUAAGCGUAAUGGACCUGGGAACGGGAUGUGCCUCUUUUGCGACACGGUGGAGGAUGCUAACCACAUCUUCUUCUCGUGCUCUACGGCUCAAUUCCUUUGGUCCUGCUUCCGCGAGACGGUUGGGGGCCAGUGGUGUAACACCAACUUCCCUGACCUGCUUGCGAAAAUCCAUGCCUCCCCCCCCCCCUCGCUACCGCCAUAUCAGAUGGCUCUGCGUUGGGGUCCUUGCCUGGACGCUCUGGACUGUUCGCAAUAA
rnacentral:rRNA from 1 species